UUGAAACCUGUGGUAAAGGAAUGAUGUAACGACUGAUACCUGUGGUAAAGGAAUGAUGUAAUGACUGAUACCUGUGGUAAAGGAAUGAUGUAAUGACUGAUACCUGUGGUAAAGGAAUGAUGUAAUGACUGAUACCUGUGGUAAAGGAAUGAUGUAAUGACUGAUACCUGUGGUAAAGGAAUGAUGUAAUGACUGAUACCUGUGGUAAAGGCUUUGAAUAAGUUCUGACUGGAGACCAGUGGUCCCUUCCCUGUCCUGAGACCAGUGGUCCCAUCCCUGACCUGAACCUUGUCCUGAGGUCAGUGGUCCCAUCCCUGACCUGAGACCAGUGGCCCAGACCUGAACCCUGACCUGAGACCAGUGGUCCCAUCCCUGACCUGAGACCAGUGGCCCAGACCUGAACCCUGACCUGAGACCAGUGGUCCCAUCCCUGACCUGAACCUUCUCCUGAGGUCAGUGGUCCCAUCCCUGACCUGAGACCAGUGGUCCUGACCCAGACCUGAACCCUGACCUGAGACCAGUGGUCCUAACCCUGACCUGAGACCAGUGGUCCUGACCCAGACCUGAACCCUGACCUGAGACCAGUGGUCCUGACCCAGACCUGAACCCUGACCUGAGACCAGUGGUCCUAACCCUGAC
ensembl:lncRNA